AAAUUGUCCGAACAAGAGCCUAAACCCCUCCCCCCAUACCAAUUCUCUCACUCUCCAUUCUCUGUGAAGACAAAACCCUAGCCGCCCAUAAAACCCUCACCGCCUCGGCCGCAAAUCGCCUACCGAAAAUCGCCGCAAACCGCCCAUAGACUCCCCUUCACCUCCCCAUUCUAAAUAUAUACUCCCUUUUCUUCAAAUCCGUCGAGGCCUUUUCGAAUUUUAAAUAAAAAAACUCAGCCAAAUUUGAACCAUUCCAAAUCAUCUCAAAUUCACGCCCUAUGAUGCUUACCCUUAGAUCUGGUGAUGCAGAAGAGUCCUAAAGUUUCUCUUCUUGUUUUCCUGGUCUUCAUUUAGUCGAGUGGAAUUAAAACCUCCAUUAGUUGACUGCUCUUUUUAAGAACAAUCGAUUAAUGUUGGUCCAAAAUCCAUAUCAUAUUUCAGGAAAUUUUGGACAAUGCUUUAUUUUGAUCCAGUGUUGGUUUAAAUCGGGUAAACCCUUUUCUUUAUCUUUUUGAUUGUUAAUUUUGUUCUUUCUCCCUUCUAUGCAUGCAUGAUUUUCCUUUCUUUUAGCAGCAUGUUAGGUUUUCUUAUUUUGUUUUUCCUCUUGUGAUAAGUUAAUUAUUUCCUAACAUCUAUUUUAAUUAAAGCAUCUGUAAUUUGUUUAAGUCUAUGUUAGUUUAGGUUUGUUUGUCGAAUUGGAUGUUCAUAGCUGCUCUUUUAUAAUUUAUUCUCCUAGACACACGGUCAUCUGAUUUUAGUGUUAGAUUGUUUGUUUAAUUAGUAGUUGUUUAAACUUUUGUGCCAGAAUUACCUUGAUUCCAUAUUGAUUAAGUAUUCUCUUCUUCCAGCUUUAAGUUUAGAUUUUGUGAUAUGCUAGAUUAAUUCAGGUUUUAGGUGUUCCUUAUGAUUGUUGUAGUUAAUUAGGAAGAACAUUUUAAGUGAAGAUAGGCUGGGUCAAAUUCAAUUGACCACAAUUCUUUCUAAAUUUCCACUGUUCUAUUCACGAUUUGUGCGCCUUUUUAUCUGAUUCCAAGUUAUUUGCCUUGAUAUGAAAAUCAGCUGAACUUUUGGGUGCUCAUUUGGACUAGAAAGUUUGGGUAAAACCUGAAAUAGGUGAUAAUUUAAAGGGUAAAAAGGAUUUUUUUUACUUAGGCUUAAAUCAGAUAUUUUAGGAAAAGUGUACAACUAUCCUAGCUGUUUAAAAAUAUACUGAAAAUGGGACAGUUGUACCAAGUGUUGUUAAAAAGGACUGUACUAUUAUUCAUUAGGAUAAGGAAUAUGCUAAAAGAUGUCGUCCCAUUAGACAACUUUUAUAUAGCCUCUAUUGCUCUGUAAAAAAGGAGAUUUUUUGGAGGCACAUUUUAUUAGUAAUUCUCUCUGGAAAAGUUCCAUUUUCUUCUUUGAAAACUUCACAUUCAAAAUACCUUUGAAAACACCAGAAAUCUCCUACUCUUUUAAAAGUUUGAAAUAUGGUUUGAAGUAGAAAUACUUUUACUCCUUUAGCUGGAUCUGUGGGAUUUUAAGUUGUUUCCCAGUCUCUUUAUUUUGAGCCUCUGGCUCCUUUUUUGGUUAUUUUUGCUGCUGUCUUGUUUGGUUUACUGCUGAAGUUUAAUAUCUCUAGCUCUCUUUUGUUUUUUCCUGACCUUUAUUUGGUCAUUUUCUAGUCAGAUUUUUAGUUUUCAUGUAUGUACAAUGUCCAUCUUGAAUUAAAUCAAUAUUGUAUUUAAAAUCUGUAUUUGGAACUUAUUCGUAUAGCUUAUCUCUGGUAUUUGGUUUAUGAAUCAUGAUUUUUUUUGAUUUAGAGUUAAUGGGACUAUGUUCUAGUAUUAAAUGAUUGCCUAAAACAUUAAAUCAAUAGGGUUUUGCUCUAUUCAUAUAUCAAAAUUCACACCUUUGGAUUGCUAAAUGGGUAUGUGUAUGCACUUGUGAAACCUAUGUCCAGAGCUUCCCUCCUAUAACAGCACAAGUAGGAAGUGAAUCUAACAUUCGAAGUGGUCAGAUUUAUCCCUUUAUAGUGCAUAAUAAUCUGGAUUUUUGUUCAGUAAAUGUUCACAUUAUUUUCACUCUCCCAUCUUCUCCUUUACUGAAAUGAGAGCCAUGGAAUGAAUCAUGGUUUGAGAAUCAUUGUUUAUCUAUAAGGCUGACCCUUAAUAUGAUUAGGCUUAUGGACACAUUGUCUUUCUCUUUCACUCAUUUGUGUGUUAGGAUUAAUUUGGUUACAUUAUUCUAAUAGUGUGUUGAAUACUUCACUUAGCUUAAGUUUAUCUAAUGAUUAAGAGGGUGCAGAAUGUUUGAAUAUGAACUCUUUUUUUCUGUUGUUACCCUUUAAUUAAUAUUAAGGUUACAUUGGUUCAAGUCUCUUACGUAAACUAAUGGCUAUUUAUCAUUGUUAUUUAUUUGUGUUGCCAUGUGAUAUGGCCCUAAGGCCAAGAGGUUUUCAAAACUGAAGUUGAAAUAUAAACUUAUGAGGGACAGUUCCAUAGCUUCUCCCUUGCAAAUACACACGUUAUAUGAGAAAACUUUAUGGGCGAAGAGGGAAUUAGAAUCAUAAUAUUUUUUAGCCCAUUCAGGCAGUACUAUAGGUUGUAAAGAUAGUUUUUUUAUUCUAUUCUGGACUUGCAAGUGUUGUAAAUGGACUUUCUAUAACUUUAAAAUUCAUUUUUUUUUUGGUUCGCUUAAAUACUGGGUCACUGCAAUUUAGACCAAAUCGUUUAUAUUUCACAGCACGAAUUGGGCUUGGCUUAUUGCUUGGCCCAAGUUGAGACCCAUUCAAAUAGAUUUGAGGGUCUGGGCUGUUGAGCUUGGGCUUUAAGCCCAGUAGUCCGAUAAUGUGUAAAAUGCAUCCCUGAGUUGUGAUAUAAGUGCAUGCCUUUGUUAUUUUCCUCUUAAAAAUCAUAGUAUAUUUGCAGCGUUAACUUCUAAAGUUUCUUUUAAAAUGAAUUGUACUCCUUGCCUUUCUUUUCUUAUCCAAUUUGGUUAAAAAAUGCAAAGAAAUUCCAGUCUGUGCCAAUGCACAACUGGACUUGCCUAAAAUCCAAGCCCUAUGUGGGCUGUUUGUCCCAAAAUUUGUAAUUUAUGUCUUAUAACCUCUAAUUUCUGGGCCAUUCGCGAGCCCCAUUUUUCAGCCCUUAAAGCUAAUUCAUCAGUGGGCUGUUUCUGGACCAUUUCGUGUCCCCCAAAAGUAUUUUAAAAUCUCUCCCAUGAUUAACUAGCCUUGUUGAAUUAAUUCCUAAAUAGGAGCAUAUUGGUGAUUGUGAAUUAAUUUUUCUUGUAAGAAGAAAUCAUUCGAGGCGUACAAUGCCAAUUAAAAUCAUAAGAGUACAUGACCCUUGUAUUAGUUUCAUAAUUUAGAUCUAAUAAAUAUCAAAUACUCGUAGUUCUCUUUUGGCUCGAUUUUGACUAGCAUUGUGAUUAUGUAUGCGUUCGCACAACAUAAUUUCAAAUCUAAUUCUAAAACUGACUUGAAGGGUGCGUUCGCGCAACUUCAACCAAACUUUUCUUAAUAAAAGAAACCAAAGCGUUAUAAAUUGUGAACACAUUUGCGUGACAUGAUUUUGACGCGCCAAAAAAAGGAGUGUAUAUAGUAACUCAAUUCUUUAAUUACAAACAAAUCAAGUGAUUUAAAAUAGGUAAAAAGAUAAUUUCCCAUAGGUCUUAAAAUGUGUAUUUAAACAUAUUUAAGCCAAGUAAUAAUCACUAAGCGACUGUUCUAGAACCACGGAACCCGGGAAUGCCUAACACUUUCUCCCGGGUUAGAAAAAUUCCUUAUCUAGAAUUUCUGGUUCUCAAACUUGAAAAAGGAAAGUCUAAAUUUUCUUAAUUUGGGAUUUAAAAUAAAAUAGUGACUUGGGACAUCAUAAUUUAUUCCAAUUGGUGACUCUGAUAAAAAUAAAUAAUCACAUUUCGAAUAAUGUCAGUUAAAUUGGAAAAAUUCCCUUAUAUAUUUCCCUCUCAGGGUAUGGUAAAAAGGAGGUGUGACAGGGUGACUCUGCUGGGGACAAGAACCCAGAACUUCCGGUUCAGGGUUCAAGAAUUCGAGCUUGUUAAUGCGAUUUUUAUUUGGCUUCAUUGUUGAUAUUACUGUAUUUUGUGGACUUAAUGUUCUAAUUGUCAUUUACCGCUUUGAUAUUAUUUGAAUUGUAUUUAAGUGUCUUCUUACGCCACCUACCUGAGUCUUCUGAAAAUGGUGCACACGUUCGCAUGGCCCACUUUUCUGUAGAAUUGAUACCAAAAUAAGACGGGACUAGGCAAGCAACAAGUCCGGGCAGACUUUCAUGCUCCCGGUACGUUGUCCCCUCCUCGACCCUAGUUGUCCGCUCGGGUAACCCAAGUCUAGACUACAAACUCAGGUUUUAAACUUAGAAUAACGCAACCUCAUGCUGGAUCCCUUGUAGAAACGAUUGUUUGCAUCAUGCAUUUGACCU
rnacentral:lncRNA from 1 species